UAGACAGUAGUUAUAUAGGAUGGUGUGUUUAGACAGUAUAGACAGUAGUUAUAUAGGAUGGUGUGUAUAGACAGUAGUUAUAUAGGAUGGUGUGUAUAGACAGUAGUUAUAUAGGAUGGUGUGUAUAGACAGUAGUUAUAUAGGAUGGUGUGUAUAGACAGUAGUUAUAUAGGAUGGUGUGUAUAGACAGUAGUUAUAUAGGAUGGUGUGUAUAGACAGUAGUUAUAUAGGAUGGUGUUUUAACAACAGUAUGUUAAUGUAAAAUCUACCCUACAGUUGAUGUCUGAAGUUUACAUACAUUUAGGUUGGAGUCAUUAAAAAUUGUUUUUCAACCUCUCCACAAAUUUCUUGUUAACAAACUAUAGUUUUGGCAAGUCGGUUAGGACAUCUAGUUUGUGCAUGACACAAGUCAUUUUUCCAACAAUUGUUUACAGACAUAUUAUUUCACUUAUAAUUCACUGUAUCACAAUUCCAGUGGGUCAGAAGUUUACAUACACUAGGUUGACUGUCCCUUUAAACAGCUUGGAAAAUUCCAGAAAAUUAUGUCAUGGCUCUAGAAGCUUCUGAUAGGCUAAUUGACAUAAUUUGAGUCAAUCGGAGGUGAACCUGUGGAUGUAUUUCAAGGCCUACCUUCAAACUUAGCGCCUCUCGCUUGACAUCAUGGGAAAAUCAAAAGAAAUCAACCAAGACCUCAGAAAAAAAUUGUAGACCUCCAUAAGUCUGGUUCAUCCUUGGGAGCAAUUUCCAAACGCCUGAAGGUACCACCUUCAUCUGUACAAACAAUAGUACGCAAGUAUAAACACCAUGGGACAACGCAGCCGUCAUACCGCUCAGGAAGGAGACGUGUUCUGUCUCCUAGAGAUGAACGUACUUUGAUGCGAAAAGUGGAAAUCAAUCCCAGAAUAACAGCAAAGUACCUUGUGAAGAUGCUGGAAGAAACAGGUACAAAAGUAUCUAUAUCCACAGUAAAAUGAGUCCUAUAUCGACAUAACCUGAAAGGCCGCUUAGCAAGGAAGAAGCCACUGCUCCAAAACCUCCAUAAAAAAGCCAGACUACGGUUUGCAACUGCACAUGGGGACAAAGAUCGUACUUUUUGGAGAAAUGUCCUCUGGUCUGAUGAAACAAAAAUAGAACUGUUUGGCCAUAAUGACCAUCGUUAUGUUUGGAGGAAAAAGGGGGAGGCUUGCAAGCCGAAGAAAUCCGUUCCCAACCAUGAAGCACGGGGGUGGCAGCAUCAUGUUGUGAGGGUGCUUUGCUGCAGGAGGGACUGAUGCCCUUCACAAAAUAGACGACAUCACGAGGAAGGGAAAAUGAUGUGGAUAUAUUGAAGCAACAUCUCAAGACAUCGGUCAGGAAGUUAAAGCUUGGUCGCAAAUGGCUCUUCCAAAUGGACAAUGACCCCAAGCAUACUUCCAAAGUUGUGUCAAAAUGGCUUAAGGACAACAAAGUCAAGGUAUUGUAGUGGCCAUCACAAAGCCCUGACCUCAAUCUUCUAGAACAUUUGUGGGCAGAACUGAAAAGGAAGGAGAACUGUGCGAGGAAGGAGGCCUACAAACCUGACUCAGUUACACCAGCUUUGCCAGGAGGAAUGGGACAAAAUUCACACAACUUAUUGUGGGAAGCUUGUUGAAGGCUACCCAAAAUGUUUGACACAAGUUAAACAAUUUAAAGGCAAUGCUACCAAAUACUAAUUGAGUGUAUGUAAUCUUCUGACCCUCUGGGAGUGUGAUGAAAGAAAUAAAAGCUGAAAUAAAUCAUUCUCUCUACUAUUAUUCUGACAUUUUACAUUCUUAAAAUACAGUGGUGAUCCUAACUGAUCUAAGACAGGGAAUUUUUACUUGGAUUAAAUGUCAGGAAUUGUGAAAAACUGAGUUUAAAUGUAUUUGGCUAAGAUCAAAUCAAAUGUAUUUAUAAAGCCCUUCGUACAUCAGCUGAUAUCUCAAAGUGCUGUACAGAAACCCAGCCUAAAACCCCAAACAGCAAGCAAUGCAGGUGUAGAAGCACGGUGGCUAGGAAAAACUCCCUAGAAAGGCCAAAACCUAGGAAGAAACCUAGAGAGCAACCAGGCUAUGAGGGGUGGCUAGGAAAAACUCCCUAGAAAGGACAAAACCUAGGAAGAAACCUAGAGAGCAACCAGGCUAUGAGGCGUGGCCAGUCCUCUUCUGGCUGUGCCGGGUAGAGAGGAACCAGGCUAUGUGGGGUGGCCAGUCCUCUUCUGGCUGUGCCGGGUGGAGAUUAUAAACCUAGAGAGGAACCAGGCUAUGUGGGGUGGCCAGUCCUCUUCUGGCUGUGCCGGGUGGAGAUUAUAAACCUAGAGAGGAACCAGGCUAUGUGGCGUGGCCAGUCCUCUUCUGGCUGUGCCGGGUGGAGAUUAUAAACCUAGAGAGGAACCAGGCUAUGUGGGGUGGCCAGUCCUCUUCUGGCUGUGCCGAGUAGAGAGGAACCAGGCUAUGUGGCGUGGCCAGUCCUCUUCUGGCUGUGCCGGGUAGAGAGGAACCAGGCUAUGUGGCGUGGCCAGUCCUCUUCUGGCUGUGCCGGGUGGAGAUUAUAAACCUAGAGAGGAACCAGGCUAUGUGGGGUGGCCAGUCCUCUUCUGGCUGU
ensembl:lncRNA